AAACCCCUACCGUGUUCGUGAUAGAGCGAUUAUUUUUGAGCCAACACACAAAAAAAGGGAACCCUUGUUAAAGCAUGGUGUGCAGGCCCUGAGGAAGGGAAGCCUAAAGUGCUUGCGGGGUGCCCACCUGGUUCGCCAGGUUCAAAAAGACAGCUCUCACACGGCAUUCGGUGGGGGUUUC
rnacentral:other from 1 species